GGAGAAUGCUCAGGUAGUGCUGGAAUUCAUUGACGCUGAGUGAAAUGGACAAGAGUAAUGCAACAUGCUCGGAACAUGAAGCUGGUCUCAAAAUGGAAGGUUUUAUCAGCUGAAUGAUCACUUGUUUUCUGUUGACAGGGCAGAAUUCGUAUGCAACCGCAUAAUUCCUUCCUCGCUGUUCACGCACAGGUUGGUCAGGUUUUUUGUUCACCUAUGGAACGACCACUAUGCCAGCCGCCGAUUCAGUGGCAGCUCAAACGGUAGAGCUUCCGAGUUGAUUCGUUGACAUGCAGGCAAUUAGAUAUGGAUGAUAUCCACACGAUUGCUUGAUCCUCAUUGCGGAACAACAGCUUGAUAUCGCCUCCUUUGGUUUGUAAGCUGAGCAAGAAGUAGCCACGGGCUUCAUGAGCUUCUUCCAACAUAUCCAAAAUUCUGUCUGUAAAAUCCAAGAGCAUCAGGGGACAGAGUAACCAAUAGUUCUGUAAUUGCCAGGAAUUUUAAGAUGGACUGAUACUAAUCUUUGCCUCUUUUGCCCUGAGUGAACACUUGGACAUUGGUCAUAGUACUACAUAUAUGGCACGGAAGACAAACAAUAGGGAACCACAGUACAGGCAUUCUACCAGAAGGAGUGAUUACUGGCAUUGCAGUCCCGGAAUUCAGCAGUUCUUCAGUCUCUUCCAGAUAGGAAUUUACAAUGGUUCUUGUUCUUGAUCUGAGUAUUGCAGCUCCUCUUAAACCUGGAAAGGAUCAAUUGCAUAAAUACAUCUGUUGCUGGGUGUCAAAGGAGCUGAACAUGUUUCCAUGUAUAACAUUUGUGAGGAUAUGGUGGUUAUGGAAUCAUUACACGUUGCAGCUGUGGCUGUUAGUGUGAUCAUGUCAGCUGGUGUUUGGUUCGCAAAACCAGAGUUGAUGGCAGAGGCAACCUGGUCUCUGGGUGCCCCUGCUGACUCCGCUGCUUCUGCACAGACAGCAGCCACCAGACUUGUGGCAAAAGAAAGGACAUUUCCCAUGUCAUUGUCAUAAGCCACCGUGCUCCUAUUAUUGUGGCAGUUGAUAUCAUCUACGCCUGUGAUGCUGCUGCUGGUGAUGCCAGCGAUUGCUGCAGCCAAGCGUGCAACAGAUAGAACGGCAUCUACUUUGGCUGUGUGCAGUCGAAGCUCCUCUUUCUUCCUGUCGUUGUACCACUUGAGUAGGCUGGCCAAAGAGUUUUGUGCGUGCUUCCUCGUAGUAUGAACAUCACAGAGAAAGGUACUUUCUUUUGUUUCCGCUGUUUCUGAUUCUCCAUCAUGAUCUCCUGUUCUAUAACCCUCAUUUAGCUCCUCAUCAGGCUUUCUUUGAAAGCUGCUAUCCUCUAGAGGAAUUAACAGAUUCUGUGAAGAGAAAUCAGUGAAAUCAUUUACGUGAUAAGAAUGACUAUAUUUUGAAUUUUUUCCCGGCUGGAUGCCAAAAUAGUAGAGCAAUGCUGAAACAUUUUCUGAAUGAGAAGGACUAGCCCCACCCGGAAUGAUUUUGGUGCUCUCUUUCAUGUAUCUGUACUCAUGUCUCGUUGGAAAUGGCUGAGAAUUGUUUCGAAUGAGCGUAACAUGGGAAGAUUUCUUACAUUUGACAAGAAAAUGCUUAGGAAGUCAGAGGCUGCUGGGCUCCAUGAGCGAGACAGAUACUCCAUGGUACUAAUUGGACUGCCAAGGACGUCCAGAGACUGGCAACAGAAUGAAGGUGGCUCUCUCCUCGCGUAUUGAUUUCUUCCUGUCCAGAAAGCAUCUGGCAACUCCCGUUGCUGAAAAAUUUCAUGGAAGACAAAGAAAAAUAAGGAAAUGUUGAAAUGACUAUGCUGUCUGAGUGAAACAAGCUGCCAUCAAUUGUCAAUCUCUGCACUUAACUUACCGUAUAAGUUGGCAAUUGGUGCUGAGUUUUGAAUGCAACCCUUCCGAGCCUAUUGCUUCCUCGUACUUCCUCCAUUUCAAGGUUAAACUUCUACCAUCAAUAAGAUUCCAUCAUUCUUUGCUUACUAAACUCUAAGGUCUGCAACAGGCAAUGUCUACCACUUCUUAACAACAGUGAAGGUCUAUAUGCAAGAGGACUUGCAUUUCCACCAUGCCCAUCUCAUGCACCUCCACACGAAAGUUGCAUUACCAUCGGGAAAAAAUAGAAAGAAACCCACAAAAGAGAAAAUGAUAGGUGCUGUACCAGAUGAGGACUGCAUGUGAAUUCUAGAGUGUCGGG